ACGCUCGACACCUACGGAGGCAGCAGUGGGGAAUAUUGCACAAUGGGGGAAACCCUGAUGCAGCGACGCCGCGUGAGCGAAGAAGUAUUUCGGUAUGUAAAGCUCUAUCAGCAGGAAAGAAGAAAGACGGUACCUGACUAAGAAGCCCCGGCUAACUACGUGCUAGCAGCCGCGGUAAUCUGAGGCGGGCUGGACAAGGC
rnacentral:rRNA from 1 species